GACGAGCGCUGGCGGCGUGCCUAAUACAUGCAAGUCGAACGCACGAAGUUGAAGAGCUUGCUCUUUAACCAAGUGAGUGGCGGACGGGUGAGUAACACGUGGGUAACCUGCCCAUUAGAGGGGGAUAACAUUCGGAAACGGAUGCUAAUACCGCAUAGUUUCAGGAAUCGCAUGAUUCUUGAAGGAAAGGUGGCUUCGGCUACCACUAAUGGAUGGACCCGCGGCGUAUUAGCUAGUUGGUGAGGUAAUGGCUCACCAAGGCAAUGAUACGUAGCCGACCUGAGAGGGUGAUCGGCCACACUGGGACUGAGACACGGCCCAGACUCCUACGGGAGGCAGCAGUAGGGAAUCUUCCGCAAUGGACGAAAGUCUGACGGAGCAACGCCGCGUGAGCGAAGAAGGUUUUCGGAUCGUAAAACUCUGUUGUUAAAGAAGAACAAGGAUGAGAGUAACUGCUCAUCCCCUGACGGUAUUUAACCAGAAAGCCACGGCUAACUACGUGCCAGCAGCCGCGGUAAUACGUAGGUGGCAAGCGUUGUCCGGAUUUAUUGGGCGUAAAGCGAGCGCAGGCGGUUCUUUAAGUCUGAUGUGAAAGCCCCCGGCUCAACCGGGGAGGGUCAUUGGAAACUGGAGAACUUGAGUGCAGAAGAGGAGAGUGGAAUUCCACGUGUAGCGGUGAAAUGCGUAGAUAUGUGGAGGAACACCAGUGGCGAAGGCGACUCUCUGGUCUGUAACUGACGCUGAGGCUCGAAAGCGUGGGGAGCAAACAGG
rnacentral:rRNA from 1 species